AACGAACGCUGGCGGCAUGCCUAACACAUGCAAGUCGAACGAGACCUUCGGGUCUAGUGGCGCACGGGUGCGUAACGCGUGGGAACCUGCCCUUAGGUUCGGAAUAACUCCCCGAAAGGGGUGCUAAUACCGGAUAAUGUCUUCGGACCAAAGAUUUAUCGCCUUUGGAUGGGCCCGCGUUGGAUUAGCUAGUUGGUAGGGUAAAAGCCUACCAAGGCGACGAUCCAUAGCUGGUCUGAGAGGAUGAUCAGCCACACUGGGACUGAGACACGGCCCAGACUCCUACGGGAGGCAGCAGUGGGGAAUAUUGGACGAUGGGCGAAAGCCUGAUCCAGCAAUGCCGCGUGAGUGAUGAAGGCCUUAGGGUUGUAAAGCUCUUUUAACCGGGAUGAUAAUGACGGUACCGGGAGAAUAAGCUCCGGCUAACUCCGUG
rnacentral:rRNA from 1 species